ensembl:lncRNA
UUAUCAAUAUUAUGUGCAAAUGUAAAUUUUUGAGAUUUUAACCGGUGUGAAGAUGUAAUAUCAUAUCACAUAAUCUUGUUACUUUCUCUUCAAAGCUCAGAACAGUUGUUCCCUUUCAGUCGGUCACGUUCGACGUUACGAAUGGGAUCUCGCCCGAGAGCCCAAUCACCUUCGAGUGGUACAAAACGAGCCAAUGGUACGCAAAGUACCUUGGUCUGCGGGAUUUGCAUCGCGAGCUCCGCCCCGCAAAGCGGGUAUAUAAGGAGCAACGCGAGCAACUCGCAUUCAAGCUUUCGCUUCGGAGCCGAGCACAUCGCUUGCUGCUAUCACCGGAGUGUUACAAGCAAGAGCUGGUGUUGGUGUGACGGCGCGAUUCAGCGGUUCGUCUGGGUUUCCUGCGACAGCUCCCGCGUUCCCCUGAGCACUUCAACACCUCUGAAAGAGCAAGAUUUCUUUCACAAAAGAGAUACGGGCCAAUUUGCGUAUUUUUAAAGAUGUCAUUUCGCCGUGCGUUUCUGGGUGUGGUCGAUACAUCGCUCCUCGUGACGGUCACGAUCGCUGUGUCACGUGUCUGGGCUUUCAGCAUGGUGAGACUGCGUUCGUGGAUGGCUCAUGUUCUCAUUGCGGGGACAUGACCAUCUCGGCGUUGAGAUCGAGACUCGAUUACCUUAAAAGGUAUAGAGUCCCCUCUGCCACACCCCGUUCUAGCUCUUCUCGUAAGAGGGCUACUUCGGCUGGUGGCCAGGGUGAUAUGAGGGUUGCUGUGUGGGCUUCCCCGACGAGCCAACCUCCUCGGACCACACCCCCCUCACAUACGCCGCAGCCGGUUGAGUUUCCGGAUGAGUUUGCUGGACCCUCUCAGGCUCCUGACAUCUCAUUCGGGGCUCGCGAAGAGGACCGUAUGUCGAUCGCCGCAUCACAAGGCGGGCUUGAGUCCUCGGGAGAUGAGGGUUCGGCUGCGUUGCCUCCCUCGGGAGUGCCAGCGUUGUCCGAGUCCGAUCCCGAGCUGACGGCCGUGCUUUCCCGGGCAGCGGAGAGCAUCGGACUUGAGUGGAAUCCUCCGCCCUGUCCCGAGCGCUCGAGGCUGGAUGAUUGGUUCCUGGGGGCUGCUCAUGCGGAUCGCCAGCACCCCCCUCUGGUUCCUUUCUUCCCGGAAGUGCACCAGGAAGUAACCAGUUCAUGGAAGGCACCUUUAACUGCCCGAAACCGUUCUGGUACUUCCUCCGCCUUCACUGCCCUCGAUGGCGGGGCGGCCAAGGGGUAUGCUGGGAUUCCCCCGGUGGAGCGUUCUGUUGCGAUGCAACUGUGUCCACAGAGCGCCUCCGCUUGGCGUGGUGGUCCCAAGCUGCCCUCCAAGGCCUGUAAGUUCUCAUCCACUCUUGUGGCCAAGGCUUACAGAGCUGCGGGCCAGGCCGCCUCUGCCUUGCAUGCCAUGGCCUCACUUCAGGUCUAUCAGGCCAAGCUGCUCCGGCAGCUGCACGAGGGCAGUGCUGACCCAGGGGUUUUGCAGGAGGCGCGCACUGCUACCGACCUCGCUCUCCGGGCGACGAAGGUCACUGCGCGCUCCUUGGGUCAGGUGAUGUCCACUUUGGUGGUCCAGGAGCGCCACCUAUGGCUGAACCUGGCAGAUAUGAGGGAGUCUGAUCGGGCUCAGCUCCUCAACUCCCCGGUCUCCCAGGAUGGCCUCUUCGGCGACUCGGUAGAGAGCUUUGCCCAGCAGUUCUCUGCCGCCCAGAAGCAGUCUGAGGCCAUCAGACACAUCCUGCCCCGGCGGCCCACUGCUGCUUUCACCCCGCCGCCGGCGCAGCCGCCGCAGCCUGCUCGUCGCCGAGGGCGCCCCCCUGUGGCCUCCUCCACUCCCGCUCGGCCACAGCAGCAGCCUUCACCCCGGCCGCAGCGAGGAGAUGGCCGCAGAAGGGCGGCGCAACCCGUCUCUGCCCCUAAGCCUGCCAAACGCCAGGCCAAGCGGCGUUCCUGAGACGGGC